GCUUGGUAAUGUUCAAGUUAUACUAUUUCAUAUGAACUCUGUCAUUGUCAUACAAAUGUUAUGAAUUUCUAUAGUUAGUUACUGCAUACUGCAAUAAUUUUCAUAAUUGAUAUGCUUAACUAAAUGUGGUAAAGAUGCUAGCGAAUUAGCUUAUUUUUUGCGUGGCUGGAAUAUAACUUUUGCCUGCUGUGUUUCGAGCUAGUUAAUAGACAUUGGCUUUAGAUACCAUGGGAGCCAGCUGUAUGAUAGAUUCUACCACUUCACACGGUGCAUAUUACACCUAUUAGACUGCUGUUACACUCGUAGGGUAUUUUAAUUACACUAGAGAAAAAUUCAGUGGUUAUUAAUUCCAUUGACCAAGAUAAUAAAAGU
rnacentral:misc_RNA from 1 species